rnacentral:sRNA from 1 species
UGAUGACCAGAGUGGCAGCGUGGUGAUAUUUGGUGGCAUUGACUCUUCUUACUACACUGGAAGUCUGAACUGGGUGCCUGUUACUGUCGAGGGUUACUGGCAGAUCACCGUGGAC